UUUAUAUUGGUAUUCUCGAGGUAACGGGGGCUAUUGUGUAUAGGUAUUGUUUUCGUGGUAAUGAAAUUUGUUAAUGGACAAUAGUAAUGAAAUAUUUAUCGGCUGUUAGGAUAUCUAGUUAUUCAUUAAAUAGUAAAUACUAGUGGUGUUAAAAUUUAUAAGAUUAGUUAUAAAUUGUGGUAGCUUUAGAAAGUUAGAAAGACAUUGAUUGCUUUAAUAGUAAGAAUUGGUUAGUGUGUUAUUACAAGUGUUUGAUAUAUAAGGAUUAAAAUAAAAACUAUUAUAUAGUGAAUAAUUUUAUUUAAAGAAAUAUUAAAAAUUAUAAUGGUAAAAUGAGUAUAAAUUAUAUAAAAGGAAUAUAAAUAUUAGAUGAUAAAAUGUGUUGGGUAAAAUUAUUUGUAAAUAACUCGGCAAUGAAGUUCUAAAAUGUUUAACAAAAACAUUUCCUUUUUGGUGAAAGGUAGAUUCUGCCCAGUGUUGUAAUAAACGGCUGCGGUAUUCUGACCGUACGAAGGUAGCAAAAUAAAUAGUCUUUUAAUUGGGGACUGGAAUGAAAGAUUUAAUUAGGAACUUGCUUUUUUGCAGAUAAUAAUAGAAUUUAAUUAAUAAGUUAAAAGGCUUAUGUAUUUUAGAGUGACAAGAAGACCCUAAGAGUUUUACAAAUUAAGCUAUUUAAGGCAAUUGGGUGUGAAUGUUUUGUUUGGUUGAUUUUGUUUAACUGGGGCGGUUAAAAUAAUAUCUAUUUUGUAUUGGACUUGAAUGGGAGGGUUAGUUAGAUAGUAGGAUCCUUUUUGGAAAGCAAAAUAAAUUACCUUAGGGAUAACAGCAUAAUCUUUUUUGAGAGACCGUAUUGACAAAAAGGUUUGUGACCUCGAUGUUGGAUUUGAAUAACUUUUUGGAGCAGCAUUUUUACAAGUUGUCUGUUCGACCAU
rnacentral:rRNA from 1 species